rnacentral:rRNA from 1 species
CAAUAGCGUAUUCAAAUGUUGCUGCAGUUAAAAAGCUCGUAGUUGGAUAUCUGGCGCUUUUGCUGACGGCCCGCCGCAAGGUUGAGUGCUGGAGGCAGACGCCUAUCUUCCGGUUGUGUCGUACGGCCUUCAUUGGUCGGCGUUCAUUUCCGGAUCAUUUACCUUGAAGAAAUCAGAGUGUUCAAAGCAGGCUUACGCCGUGAAUGUUGCAGCAUGGAAUAAUGACAUAGGACUAUUGCUUGUUCUAUUUGUUGGUUCAGAACCGUAGUAAUGAUUGAUAGGGACAGUUGGGGGUGCUGCUAUUCCGCGGCCAGAGGUGAAAUUCUCAGAUUCCCGGAAGAGCAACUUAUGCGAAAGCAUUCACCAAGGAUGUCUNCUUUA